GACGAACGCUGGCGGCGUGCCUAAUACAUGCAAGUCGAGCGGAAGUUGGAGAGCUUGCUCUUCAACUUUAGCGGCGGACGGGUGAGUAACACGUGGGCAACCUGCCCUGCAGAUCGGGAUAACUCCGGGAAACCGGUGCUAAUACCGAAUAGUUUUCGCCACCUCCUGGUGGCGUACGGAAAGACGGUUUCGGCUGUCACUGCAGGAUGGGCCCGCGGCGCAUUAGCUAGUUGGUGGGGUAACGGCCCACCAAGGCAACGAUGCGUAGCCGACCUGGGAGGGGGAUCGGCCACACUGGGACUGAGACACGGCCCAGACUCCUACGGGAGGCAGCAGUAGGGAAUCUUCCGCAAUGGACGAAAGUCUGACGGAGCAACGCCGCGUGGGUGACGAAGGUUUUCGGAUCGUAAAACUCUGUUGUGAGGGAAGAACAAGUACCAACUAACUACUGGUACCUUGACGGUACCUCACCAGAAAGCCACGGCUAACUACGUGCCAGCCGCCGCGGUAACAC
rnacentral:rRNA from 1 species